AUAGCAGCCCGAACUCAGACAUCCACCCACCGGCACCAGCGGGUGUCGAAGAUGUCAUUCAAUUCUGACACCAUGGACCUGAAGUCAGCGUCUGAUUCCCAAGUUAAAGGGCUCGGUCCCACAAGACUGCGCCACCUCAGACCCCGGUCACAAGUCUGAGCCUCCCGUACUUCUGACCCAUUGGCUAUAAAUGGAAAGUUCCCGCAGCUCCUCCUGCAGGGUUGGUAUUUGCCAGAACAGCUCACAGAGACGGGGAUCAGAAAGCACAGGAGCGGAACACUGGUCUCACGGAUGUCCAGGAAAGAGCCAAGAAUGUGUUCACUACUGUUCUUGACCACAAUGUUGACCAUAAAGGCCGGUCUCUGAGGAAGAAAGCACGGAUUGCGGUUUCUCAACCCUGUGGACAAGUAGACAUGAGUCUGACUCACUUUGCGGAUCGGUCCUGGUAGGGCUUUUGCCCCCAUAUGUAAGUUUCAUGCUCCUGUAUCAACCUCAUCAAUAAUAAAGAAGAUAAGUUGGUGCCUCCCA